rnacentral:rRNA from 1 species
ACGCGAAGAACCUUACCAGGCCUUGACAUCCCUUGCAAAGUCUUAGAGAUAAGAUAGAGGUUAUCAAGGUGACAGGUGGUGCAUGGUUGUCGUCAGCUCGUGUCGUGAGAUGUUGGGUUAAGUCCCGCAACGAGCGCAACCCUUGUCUUCAGUUACCAUCAUUAAGUUGGGGACUCUGGAGAGACUGCCGGUGAUAAACCGGAGGAAGGUGGGGAUGACGUCAAAUCAUCAUGCCCCUUAUGGCCUGGGCUACACACGUACUACAAUGGCGUAUACAACAAGAUGCAAUACCGUAAGGUGGAGCUAAUCUAUUAAAAUACGUCUCAGUUCGGAUUGAGGUCUGCAACUCGACCUCAUGAAGUUGGAAUCGCUAGUAAUCGCAGAUCAGCAUGCUGCGGUGAAUACGUUCUCGGGUCUUGUACACACCG